GGACAGUGUAGGGGCUAUUUGAACUGGCCAUCUUGGGUAUAGCUCCCAGGAUUGGCCCAUUUCAUUGGUGACCCUAUGCCUCCCUAUUGGAUGUACCCCUGGAUGAAAUGCUGGGGAAGGCCUACAGCCCAGGCUCAAAGUACACCGUACGCAUAGAUCGCAUGGAAAGAACGGAAUCUUCGGUCGACUUUGGGUUCCCUGGUCGUUCACAAUCUUGGGAUAAAUGACAGGACUACCUCUACUCCUGUGAGAGCAUCUGGAGAACGUGAUUCGGUUAUGGAGGACCCUCCUUCUAUACACUAAUCCCUCACAGGAACCGUCUUGGUUUUGGAUUUCCGCUAACCCACCUAUUCAACUACUGUCAAGGAGGCCUACUUGGGCUCUGUGGGGGAAUCCUGUGUGCC